rnacentral:rRNA from 1 species
AGCGUACACGGUGGAUGCCCUGGCAGUCAGAGGCGAUGAAGGACGUGCUAAUCUGCGAUAAGCGUCGGUGAGGUGAUAUGAACCGUUAUAACCGGCGAUUUCCGAAUGGGGAAACCCAGUGUGUUUCGACACACUAUCAUUAACUGAAUCCAUAGGUUAAUGAGGCGAACCGGGGGAACUGAAACAUCUAAGUACCCCGAGGAAAAGAAAUCAACCGAGAUUCCCCCAGUAGCGGCGAGCGAACGGGGAGGAGCCCAGAGCCUGAAUCAGUGUGUGUGUUAGUGGAAGCGUCUGGAAAGGCGUGCGAUACAGGGUGACAGCCCCGUACACAAAAAUGCACAUAUUGUGAGCUCGAUGAGUAGGGCGGGACACGUGGUAUCCUGUCUGAAUAUGGGGGGACCAUCCUCCAAGGCUAAAUACUCCUGACUGACCGAUAGUGAACCAGUACCGUGAGGGAAAGGCGAAAAGAACCCCGGCGAGGGGAGUGAAAAAGAACCUGAAACCGUGUACGUACAAGCAGUGGGAGCCUCUUAAUGGGGUGACUGCGUACCUUUUGUAUAAUGGGUCAGCGACUUAUAUUCUGUAGCAAGGUUAACCGAAUAGGGGAGCCGAAGGGAAAACGUCGAGUCUUAACUGGGCGUUAAGUUGCAGGGUAUAGACCCGAAACCCGGUGAUCUAGCCAUGGGCAGGUUGAAGGUUGGGUAACACUAACUGGAGGACCGAACCGACUAAUGUUGAAAAAUUAGCGGAUGACUUGUGGCUGGGGGUGAAAGGCCAAUCAAACCGGGAGAUAGCUGGUUCUCCCCGAAAGCUAUUUAGGUAGCGCCUCGUGAAUUCAUCUCCGGGGGUAGAGCACUGUUUCGGCAAGGGGGUCAUCCCGACUUACCAACCCGAUGCAAACUGCGAAUACCGGAGAAUGUUAUCACGGGAGACACACGGCGGGUGCUAACGUCCGUCGUGAAGAGGGAAACAACCCAGACCGCCAGCUAAGGUCCCAAAGUCAUGGUUAAGUGGGAAACGAUGUGGGAAGGCCCAGACAGCCAGGAUGUUGGCUUAGAAGCAGCCAUCAUUUAAAGAAAGCGUAAUAGCUCACUGGUCGAGUCGGCCUGCGCGGAAGAUGUAACGGGGCUAAACCAUGCACCGAAGCUGCGGCAGCGACACUAUGUGUUGUUGGGUAGGGGAGCGUUCUGUAAGCCUGUGAAGGUGGCCUGUGAGGGUUGCUGGAGGUAUCAGAAGUGCGAAUGCUGACAUAAGUAACGAUAAAGCGGGUGAAAAGCCCGCUCGCCGGAAGACCAAGGGUUCCUGUCCAACGUUAAUCGGGGCAGGGUGAGUCGACCCCUAAGGCGAGGCCGAAAGGCGUAGUCGAUGGGAAACAGGUUAAUAUUCCUGUACUUGGUGUUACUGCGAAGGGGGGACGGAGAAGGCUAUGUUGGCCGGGCGACGGUUGUCCCGGUUUAAGCGUGUAGGCUGGUUUUCCAGGCAAAUCCGGAAAACCAAGGCUGAGGCGUGAUGACGAGGCACUACGGUGCUGAAGCGACAAAUGCCCUGCUUCCAGGAAAAGCCUCUAAGCAUCAGGUAACAUCAAAUCGUACCCCAAACCGACACAGGUGGUCAGGUAGAGAAUACCAAGGCGCUUGAGAGAACUCGGGUGAAGGAACUAGGCAAAAUGGUGCCGUAACUUCGGGAGAAGGCACGCUGAUAUGUAGGUGAAGCGACUUGCUCGUGGAGCUGAAAUCAGUCGAAGAUACCAGCUGGCUGCAACUGUUUAUUAAAAACACAGCACUGUGCAAACACGAAAGUGGACGUAUACGGUGUGACGUGCCCGGUGCCGGAAGGUUAAUUGAUGGGGUUAGCGGCAACGCGAAGCUCUUGAUCGAAGCCCCGGUAAACGGCGGCCGUAACUAUAACGGUCCUAAGGUAGCGAAAUUCCUUGUCGGGUAAGUUCCGACCUGCACGAAUGGCGUAAUGAUGGCCAGGCUGUCUCCACCCGAGACUCAGUGAAAUUGAACUCGCUGUGAAGAUGCAGUGUACCCGCGGCAAGACGGAAAGACCCCGUGAACCUUUACUAUAGCUUGACACUGAACAUUGAGCCUUGAUGUGUAGGAUAGGUGGGAGGCUUUGAAGUGUGGACGCCAGUCUGCAUGGAGCCGACCUUGAAAUACCACCCUUUAAUGUUUGAUGUUCUAACGUUGGCCCGUAAUCCGGGUUGCGGACAGUGUCUGGUGGGUAGUUUGACUGGGGCGGUCUCCUCCUAAAGAGUAACGGAGGAGCACGAAGGUUGGCUAAUCCUGGUCGGACAUCAGGAGGUUAGUGCAAUGGCAUAAGCCAGCUUGACUGCGAGCGUGACGGCGCGAGCAGGUGCGAAAGCAGGUCAUAGUGAUCCGGUGGUUCUGAAUGGAAGGGCCAUCGCUCAACGGAUAAAAGGUACUCCGGGGAUAACAGGCUGAUACCGCCCAAGAGUUCAUAUCGACGGCGGUGUUUGGCACCUCGAUGUCGGCUCAUCACAUCCUGGGGCUGAAGUAGGUCCCAAGGGUAUGGCUGUUCGCCAUUUAAAGUGGUACGCGAGCUGGGUUUAGAACGUCGUGAGACAGUUCGGUCCCUAUCUGCCGUGGGCGCUGGAGAACUGAGGGGGGCUGCUCCUAGUACGAGAGGACCGGAGUGGACGCAUCACUGGUGUUCGGGUUGUCAUGCCAAUGGCACUGCCCGGUAGCUAAAUGCGGAAGAGAUAAGUGCUGAAAGCAUCUAAGCACGAAACUUGCCCCGAGAUGAGUUCU